GUGGGUAGCCCUUUUCAACCAUGCCUAAGUUGUGAAGUGAAAGCUUAAGGCUUCGCGCCGCAACUCACUGCCCGAUAACUUCUGAAGUGAAAGCAGAACACAAAACCCUUCGAAUUUUCUUGAGCAACUUUUUCAACUAUUUUAAUUGCCAAGCAAGACAUACGAUGCCGUCUUAAAAUAUUCCCGCACGCACAGUCCACUCAGCAUCCAGAAACUGAGCCUCGUUUCCGAUCUGAUGAUACUUGUCAUUCAACUGGUGGGAGACCCAUUUAUUUUGUCCCCAGGGUCUCUAAGGAUGCCGCUGCCGCUUUCUGAUAGCUAGAUCUCAACUCUUACAAACUUUUACUGAGCCUCAGAUUCCCGCUUGCACUACUCCAGCUGUUGCUGCCGCAGCUGCCUUUCCCAGACAGAAGCGCUGCGUUGCAAUUCUUCAGUUACAAUCUGGGUAAUAAAGGAAAUCAUAUUAAAACUACAGAUUUUUGUAUUUUAAAGCGCGAUUUCCUUCCCCCGAGUAGCGCGUGGCGGAGAUGGUUGGUGACCCCUGCGGUGCAAUCAUCCAACGAAAACUUCACUGCUCUGCACCAGUUUUUCUUUUUCUGGGUUUAGAAGGGGAGUUGUGACUACAAUACUUUAAAAAACAAAACUACCUUUAUUGUGGCAAGAGAAAACAUUACAAUGGAAACAAAUUACAUAUAAAUAGUUGUUUUCUCGGUAGCUUGUUGUUCUUUUUGUCUUUUGUAAAUUUCUUUGGUGGUCUUAAGUCCUGAUUUGGCCUUGACUACAGUACAGGAGCCCAUGGACCUAGACCAGAGACCACGGACCCUGAAAAUACCCACUGAAUCUACACCGAGAUUGAAUGCACAACACAGUUUGCAACUUAAAAGAAAACCAAAAGCCAAACCGACUCUGGCAGCGCGGGGAGACUUCCCAGCCGUUUUCUUGGGCAGCUAGGACAGCACCUGGGCCGUGCCAGAAAUGCCAGUUGCUAUGGUCCUGAUGGAUGGAAAGGAAGUGCAGGUUGGGUCUGCGCAGCAUGUCUAAAGCCUGAAAUACCGAAGCCACCCUUACCUUACUUCCCCAAAGUGACAACGCGCGGGAAUUCAGUCACAGCAGAGAACGAGUUGCAUCCAGUAACUCCCUUAGCUACCGGCCCCCCAGAAGUCUCGUAAAGUCUCAAAAGGCGAUGCGAUUAGCAAGACCGCGGCAAGGGGGGCACUUGUUACUCCUACACUUGCUCUCUGUUUAAAAAAAGGCUCUGAAGUAGGAAAGGUAGAUGCCGACCCUUUCUCCCGUCCUUAAACUACUCACCUUGUCAGCCCAGUAACUGAGAUAAACACAACAAAACAACCCCCCCACAACAACAAACACAACACCCAGAUUCAGGCAUUUACUCUCUGUAUGCCCACCUACUUGGGUUUUCCUUCAUCCUUAAGAAACUCAGAUGAAAACAGAGCUUUGUUUUAAAAAAUACUUUUAUUUGUUUAUUUCAGAUUGCUUCUGAGGAGGAAAAUCCUUCUCCCAACGGAGGCCGAGGCCCCUUCUAGGAAGGCGGUUUAUUUGCUAUUACUUGACCAUUACCCGGGCUUAGGGCUUCUUUAUUGCAUUUGGCACUUGGAGCACAGUCUUCUUGCAGUAUUUUGAUGUGUUUUGCAAAAAAAAAAAAAAAAAAAAAAAAAAAAAAAAAUCUGUGUUUAGGGGAAGGUUAAUUACGCUUUUCAUUCUUCCCUCAUCUCCAGCACUGUGGAAGGGAACGGUUCAUUAGCUGUAGAGGCAGAAAGGCUAAAAAGCAAGGCUUCUUUUUUUAUUUGUAGGGACUGCAGAGUUGCAGGUCUUGGCUAUAGAGUGCAUGUGAGUGUGUGUGUGAAUGUGAGUGAGUGUGACUUUUGCCGGCUAGCCCAGCUCCCAGGCUUUCUGAGCCAAGGCCUCCCCUGGGCCCUGGGGCCGGCUUCCUGCAGGGACAGACAUUCAACAUGUAGGACUAGAAAUUAACAUGUCAUUCCACGAAUUUUGGUUUCUUUCUUUCUUUCUCUUUCUUUU
rnacentral:lncRNA from 1 species